rnacentral:rRNA from 1 species
AGAAUCAACGCUGGCGGCGUGCCUAACACAUGCAAGUCGCACGAGAAAGGGGAGCAAUCCCUGAGUAAAGUGGCGCACGGGUGAGUAACACGUGAAUAAUCUACCUCCGAGUGGGGAAUAACUGAGAGAAAUCUUAGCUAAUACCGCAUAACACUUACGAGUCAAAGCAGCAAUGCGCUUGGAGAGGAGUUCGCGGCCGAUUAGUUAGUUGGCGGGGUAAUGGCCCACCAAGACGAUGAUCGGUAUCCGGCCUGAGAGGGCGCACGGACACACUGGAACUGAAACACGGUCCAGACUCCUACGGGAGGCAGCAGUGGGGAAUUUUGCGCAAUGGGGGAAACCCUGACGCAGCAACGCCGCGUGGAGGAUGAAGCCCUGGGGUGUAAACUCCUUUCGAUCGGGAAGAUAAUGACGGUACCGAUAUAAGAACGCCCGGCUAACUUCGCGCCAGCAGCCGC